ensembl:rRNA 5S_rRNA 5S ribosomal RNA
GUUUACAGCCGUACCACCCUGAAAGUGCCCAAUCUCGUCUGAUCUCGGAAGCUAAGCAGGGUCAGGCCCGGUUAGUACUCGGAUGGGAGACCAAAUGCUGGGAUUAGGGGCACGCACACC